AACCUAUUUUCAAUUUAUUUGUCAGAUUUGUCGUCCAGUUCAUAUACAGAGAGGCGGAAAAGCCGCCGGUGUCAUUCUCAUUGAUUCGCAUUAAUUCUUGUACUUCCGGCGCAACCUACUGAUAAAUAUUAUUGAUAAAUAUGAUUAAUAUUCCGGAAUCUUUGGCAUAGUAUUUUACUACGACGCAGUUUACGAAUAUUCCGAACCGAGAAUAUUACGAACAGAGAAACCUCAACGGAGUAAAGUGAAUAAUACCAUAGAGAAAACAGUAAACGAAGUAAAUAUAUGCAGAGAAGUCGCGGACGGCUUGCGUAUAUAUUUCGAUUUCGCAUAUUACCUCAUCUCCUGUUAUGUAGGACACUCGACGAGCUCCGGGUUUUCCCUAUCGAUGACGACGGUGAAUGUCUGCCAAGGAUAUGCGCCA